rnacentral:tRNA from 1 species
UCGCUAGUAGCUCAGAUGGUAAAGCAUCUGCCUGCAAUGUAGAAGAUCCGGGUUCAAUACCUCGGUUGGGAAG